rnacentral:rRNA from 1 species
UGGGGAAUCUUCCGCAAUGGACGAAAGUCUGACGGAGCGACGCCGCGUGAGUGAUGAAGGCCCUUGGGUCGUAAAGCUCUGUCAUCAGGGACGAACGGUCACGUCAGGAAAUGGGCGUGAAUUGACGGUACCUGAGAAGGAAGCCACGGCUAACUACGUGCCAGCAGCCGCGGUAAUACGUAGGUGGCGAGCGUUGUCCGGAAUUAUUGGGCGUAAAGCGCGCGCAGGUGGGAUCUUAAGUCUGUUCUGAAAGUUCGGAGCUUAACUCCGUGAUGGGAUGGAAACUGGGAUUCUUGAGUAUCGGAGAGGAAAGCGGAAUUCCCCGUGUAGCGGUGAAAUGCGUAGAUAUGGGGAGGAACACCAGUGGCGAAGGCGGCUUUCUGGACGAUGUCUGACACUGAGGCGCGAAAGCCAGGGGAGCGAACGGG